rnacentral:lncRNA from 1 species
UAAUAGGGUCUCUAAACAGUAACAGAGACUAUUCUUGAACCGUCUCUAAGUUACACAAGCCUCGUUGGUAUACAAGAUCAGAUUGAAAUAUGGAUAAUGCACUAUUUGUAAGAUAUGUUGAAAAAAAUUAUAAUUUAUUACUAACUUAGGUAGUAGCCAGAUUACUUAAGAAGAAAACUUAUUCAUUUCAAUCCUUACCAAAAUGGGAGGACGAGAAAUGAGAAGUUUUCUUCAUGCACAAUCCUCUUCUAAUCCCCUUAAAAUGAAAACUCAUUUUAAUCUACCUUCAAUAGGCCUUGCAUUUAGAAGGUUAUCUAUAUUAAUCCAACCCUUUAUAUAAAAUUUCUCUCUUACCAUCAAGGUUUCCCCGAAAAAAAAUAAAAUAAAAUAAAAAAUCCAACCCUUAAUUAUGCCAACCGAGCACAUGACAUAAGAAAGGAAAAAAAAGUAACACCAAUAAUCUUUUAAUAUUUAUAAUCUAUCACGAAAGCUUUUGAAAUGCUUAUUAAAUGCAUUUACAAUCCUUGUAUCUAACAUUUUGUAAUCCAUUUCUUCCUAACUUGGCCUCAUCCAAUUCGUUCCACAGUAAGGUAUGACUCAUGUAAAGGUACCUAAUUUACAUCUUAAUUAUGUACAAGCUAAAAAAUAAAAACCAAAAAUUUAAAACUCUUAAGUUUGUAUACAUUUCCUACAUUCUCUUUCAUUUCUCUCUCAUCUUUCACAACCUUCCUCCUCACUCUUUUCCUCAAUAUAAUUUCCCUCUACGUCUAAUGAGAGUAAAUAAAAAGUAAAAACUAGAAACCAAAACAGUUAUCAGUCGUGCCUCCACACAACAAAACAUGCAAGGCAGGCAUGCACGAAAGUGCAUGAAUUCGGGACGAAGGUUCCUCCUCUCCCUCCUACUCUCCUCUAAAACAGAUAUCUGCUCCCGCUCGACUAUUUAUACUUCUCAUAUGCAACUUUCUCUUAUUCCUCUCUCACUCUCUCUCUCUCACACACAAACAGACGCACACAUGUACAUACCUAGGCACGCGAAUGUGUGCAGUCCUACUCACGGAGAUGGGAAGGAAGACGGUCAUCAAGGCUAUGACCGUCGAGUUGGAAGCAAUGUUGAGAGAGUCGUCGGAUUAGGAAGGAGCAGCAGGGAUACUGCCUCGUGCCUCCAGUUAGAGGGAGAAUCAAGCGCAAGAUUUUUGCCCUUGUAUUAAAGACAUUGAAGCUUGCAACCCAACAUUCACGUUCUUACUAAUUACUGAUACUGUGAACUUGGACCAACCGUAUGGCACAUGGUUUAGUUCUCGUGCUAAUUAAUUAAAAUAAGGUUCAAGCCUUCAAGGUCCUUGUUUAAUUAGAUACAAAUGCUUGUAUUAAAACUAUCAUGUAUAUGCUUAUAAAUCUUUCUCGUGCGUUUAGUCUGCACUAGUAAGAAAUGAAACUAGAUUCAUAUGUAUAUGCUUAUUAAUAUUUCAAGUACCAAGGCUCCCUUUAUUUUGCACCAGAUUCAUGUAUAUGCAUUUCUUACUAGUGCAGACUAAACUGAAAUUUGGUACUUGAUAAUUCCUCAUCCAAAUACAAAAGUAGGGUCACAAGUAAGGGACUUGGAUAGCGUUUCUACAAUGUUCCUUGCUACCACUAUACGUUUAAGAUUUUCACUUUGGCUCUUUUGGCUAUUGAUAUUUUUCAUUUGUUAUUCUUAUGCCUUGAGUUUUGCAUGAUCGCCACUUGUGUUUACAAUAAAAAUACUCCAACUAUAAAUUUUAUAUGAAAAUACUUUAAAAGUUCAAUUAGAAAAGAAAAAAAUGACGUCAUUUGUCCACUUGUUAUGAUAUUUGAUUCGUAGUAGUAAAAUUUGAGAUUGGUUACACUAUUUACAUAUUUAAUGCAAUAAUUAUUUGGCAAUUGGGUAUAAUUCAUGUGAAUAUAUGUAUUUAAUGCAAUCAUGAUAUGACCGUGUGUAUUGCCAUCGUGAAAUGACAAUAUGAAACAAAGCUUCUGUCAUUGAAAUUGUGAAAUGACGACUAAUUUGGUGGAAAUUGAGGUCGGUAAUUCGCUUUCCCAUAUUUCAUGUUUUUCCGUGUGUAUUGCCCUCAUGUCAGCAGCAGCCUUCGUUUCGUACAAUUAAAAUUAAUUGUCAUGGAGCUUGGGUUAGAGAAACGGGACGAGGAGGAUAUGGUUGGGUGUCACGGGAUUUUGCUGGACUUUUCAAGGCGGCAGGAGGUGUGGGUAACAUUUUUUGUGAGUCCAGUCUUAUAACAGAGGCGAAGGCAAUAUGGGCAGGAUUGGUGGCAUGCGUGGAUAAAGGGUUUGAUGUUGUCUAGGUGGAAUUGGAUUCAAAGGAACUUGUGGAUAUGAUCAGCGGAAUUACUUAACCAAACGUUGCGAUUGAAGGUUUCUAUUUGAUAUUAAGUGUAUACAAAUGCAAUUGAAGUCAGUAAAUUUUAUUUUUGCUCCUCGAGUUUGUAAUCGGGCAACACAUGUAGUGGCGUCUUUUGUCUUAUGUAUGGGAGGAUUUCAUACAUGGGAUUUGUUUGAGCUAGAAUGAUUGUUCAACACUUUAACUUUAGAUGUAAACGUUUAUAUUCAAAUUUAAUAAAAUCUUUCUUUUAACAAUAAAUAAAUAAAUAAACCUCUAGUUGCCGAACAAGGGAAAUGCAAUUUCAACGCUCAAUUUCUGAGUUCUAGUCAAAUCUCGAGUUAUUUUAAAGCAUAAAAACACGAGGAGAUUUACUUUCAACACUUCUUUCUCAUGUAUCACGUAUAUAUUAAUUAAAGUAAGCAUUUUGGUACAACUAUAUACUUACCGACCAUAAUAAUUUGUUACUAAAUUUAUUAAUAUCGUCAUCGAUAAGACCCAAACUUAAAAUGUACUACUUAUAAAUGAAGAUGUAUAUCAAUCAAUUAAAUAUUUGUAUUGAUGAGGAUACUAAAUAUUUGUGAGACUUAUUUUUAGCUACGCUCCUUGAACUCGAUUUUGAUUUUAUUUUGUCUCUUGAAACUUGAAAAUCAUUUCCAUAAAAUUCAAAAUUCGUUUCACAUUACCUUAAAUUUGUUAAUUUUUUAUGAAACGUAACUAAAAAUAAACUUAUUUGUGAACAAAGUGAGAGACAAAUGAACUUGGAGGGUGAGGCUGACCGCUGACCCAGUCAACCGUGGUACUAUUUUGGGUUCAUUUGACCUUAAUUUCACGGCAAGAGUAUGUUGAAAAUAGUUAAUUUGACUUUUAUUUUAUGAUAAGAAGAGAUUUUUUAGCGUGUCAGAAAUACGACUUGUUAUACAAGAUAUAGUAAUAUAAUUGUGAGAAACUUAAAAAAAAAAUUCAAAUAAUUAUAUUAUGACAUUUGGUUUACCAAACCGUGUUUUCCACACAGAACAUAGAUGAAAAUAUUCAACGCAGAUGCCGACUCAGCCGUUCCCAUUCCACAUUCAUGUGGGCCCAGUCGCCACUUCUAAAAGGCGUUCACGGUCCGGAUCAUUUCGCAAUAAAAAAAAAGUCAAAGAGGAAGCUCUCAGAAAAUUAGAACUUCCAAUUUCCAUACGAAGGAAAAAUUAAAGAGAAUAUUCAAUUGAAGACCAUGGUAAGAUGUUUAAAGCAUUUGGUUGAGAAAAUUAAUUCAUCAAAAAUUAUAACUUUUACACUAACAUAUCAAUUCAUCGUUAUAGUAUAAGAUUUCAAAAUUUUCGCUUGGAGAAAAUUUAGAAUUUGAAAAUCAUAAAUUUAUCACGGUUACCACACAUCAUCAAGACCACCCUCAUCGCUACCACAACUCCAUCACCACCUUGCUUUUAUCAUGAACACUGCUAUUGUUGUCGCCCUAGCACUCUACCAACAUUGCUACCACUGCAACUGCCGGCGCUACUCACUACCAUCACCAUGCCCGCUACAACUUCACUUUCCCAUGAGCAUCACAGUAACCACCAUAAAUAUUACAAUUAAAACGUUACCACUACCACUUUUCAGUCAGAGCCAGACUUGAGGGUAGUCGGAAUAGGCGCCCGCCUAGGGCCCCCACUUCGGAAGGGCCCCCAAUUUUUAGGUGGAGCUAGGCAGGUCUAGACGGAGAUGGGCGGGUGUUAUGCGGGCUUAUAUGUAAACACCAGAAUAUGGAAAUCUUUUGUUGCAGGGUCGGCCUCGUGCGAGGAAGAAGACAAUUAUAUUCCCAACAUCAUUUUAAUUGCACGAUCUUAACUAAGAUGGUCCUACCAUCUGUUUUUUAUAGAUGCACGUCUUCUCCCUUUUAAAUAGUCCCCACCAUCUUAUUUUUACUUUUUUGCUUCUAUCUUAAAUACCACCGUUAUGUUUAUUUUAUGGGUUUUUAUUACCCUAUUUUAAGAUCACAUGUAUCUUUAUUAUAUACCUAAAAGGUUAA